rnacentral:rRNA from 1 species
AUUGAACGCUGGCGGCAUGCCUUACACAUGCAAGUCGAACGGUAACAGGUCUUCGGAUGCUGACGAGUGGCGAACGGGUGAGUAAUACAUCGGAACGUGCCUAGUAGUGGGGGAUAACUACUCGAAAGAGUGGCUGAUACCGCAUGAGAUCUACGGAUGAAAGCAGGGGAUCGCAAGACCUUGUGCUACUAGAGCGGCCGAUGGCAGAUUAGGUAGUUGGUGGGAUAAAAGCUUACCAAGCCGACGAUCUGUAGCUGGUCUGAGAGGACGAUCAGCCACACUGGGACUGAGACACGGCCCAGACUCCUACGGGAGGCAGAAGUGGGGAAUUUUGGACAAUGGGCGAAAGCCUGAUCCAGCAAUGCCGCGUGCAGGAUGAAGGCCUUCGGGUUGUAAACUGCUUUUGUACGGAACGAAAAGCCCUGGGUUAAUACCCUGGGGUCAUGACGGUAUCGUAAGAAUAAGCACCGGCUAACUACGUGCCAGCCGCCGCCGUAA